rnacentral:rRNA from 1 species
UACGUAGGGGGCAAGCGUUGUCCGGAAUCAUUGGGCGUAAAGCGCGUGUAGGCGGCCCGAUAAGUCCGCUGUGAAAGUCCAGGGCUCAACCCUGGGAUGCCGGUGGAUACUGUCGGGCUCGAGUCCGGAAGAGGAGUGUGGAAUUCCUGGUGUAGCGGUGAAAUGCGCAGAUAUCGGGGAAGAACACCCCGUGGCGAAGGCGGCUCUCUGGGACGGUACUGACGCUGAGACGCGAAAAGCGUGGGGGAGCGAACAGGG